UACGUAGGGGGCAAGCGUUGUCCGGAAUCAUUGGGCGUAAAGCGCGUGUAGGCGGUUUCGUAAGUCUGCUGUGAAAGUCGGAGGCUCAACCUUCGAAAGCCGGUGGAUACUGUGAGACUUGAGUACGGAAGAGGAGGGUGGAAUUCCUGGUGUAGCGGUGAAAUGCGCAGAUAUCAGGAGGAACACCAACGGCGAAGGCAGCUCUCUGGGACGUUACUGACGCUGAGACGCGAAAGCGUGGGGAGCAAACAGG
rnacentral:rRNA from 1 species